CACUCCUGGUUCUCCUUCAGAUCAUAUAAAUCUUGCGCCUAUUACUAAAGAUUUCCAUGGAGGGGAACAACAAGAGUAUUACCUAAUUUUUCAAGAACUUCCUGUGGGAUUAAUAAAGUUU
rnacentral:snRNA from 1 species